GAUGAACGCUAGCGGCAGGCUUAAUACAUGCAAGUCGAGGGGCAGCAUGGGGUGUAGCAAUACACUCUGAUGGCGACCGGCAAACGGGUGCGGAACACGUACACAACUUACCCUAGACUGGGGGAUAGCCUUCCGAAAGGGAGAUUAAUACCUCAUAGGAUCGUAGAGUGGCAUCACUUAGCGAUUAAAGCUCAGGCGGUUUAGGAUGGGUGUGCGGCUGAUUAGGUAGUUGGCGGGGUAACGGCCCACCAAGCCUGCGAUCAGUAACUGGUGUGAGAGCACGACCAGUCACACGGGCACUGAGACACGGGCCCGACUCCUACGGGAGGCAGCAGUAAGGAAUAUUGGUCAAUGGACNCAAGUCUGAACCAGCCAUGCCGCGUGAAGGAUGAA
rnacentral:rRNA from 1 species